rnacentral:lncRNA from 1 species
UCCCAGGCUAGGGGUCUAAUUGGAGCUGUAGCUACCAGCCUACACCACAGCCACAGCAACACCAGAUCUUAGCCGAGUCUGCGACCUACACCACAGCUUACGGCAAUGCCAGAUCCUUAACCCGCUGAGUAAGGCCAGGGAUCGAACCUGCAACCUCAUGGUUCCUAGACAGGUUCGUUUCCACUGAGCCAUGACGGGAACUCCCGAAGGUAAGAAUUUUAGACCAUAAGAAAUGAAAUUACUUGUCCAGAAUCACACAAAUGGUCAGUGCUGGAACUGAGAACUGAACUCAGGUUCACAUCCUGGCUUUCUGAAUUGUUCUAGAGCUCAGAAUUAUGGUCACCCCAGAAGGACAUGCCUCUGACUUUGGAUGUCUUUCUGUGAGAAAAAGCAUUUCAGAGAGACAAAUUUUCACCUUGACUGUAUCCCCUUAAGGUCAAAGCUACCACAUCCCAAGAGGCUGGGUAAGUUCCAAGAUGCCAGCUUACAGGAAAAGCUGUUCAGGGUGCAGGCCCCAAAGGAACAGAUCAUGAGCCCUGCCAAGCCCACUUCCACCGAAUGCAACACGCCCAACAUGUACCUGAAUGACCUCCCACCUUAGGUCAUCACGAAGCCAGAGACGGGUGAACUGUCCCCAUUUGACUGGGGGAAACACUGAGGCAUAAAAAGGCCAAGCUCACAAAAGAAUUUAAUUGCCAAAUAAUGAAGAAAGGCCUAAGAGAGGGCCUCCAAAUAUGGGCUGUCAACCACCUGAAACCACAUAACCUGGGAAGCGUGUUAGAAUGCAGACUCCCGGGUCUAGCCCAGGUCCAGGGAAUCAGAUCAUCCAGAGGUGGGGCCCUGGACUCUGACCCCCCCUCUUCAGGCCGUCAUCGCCAAGCCCACGUAGAGAACCAGUGUCCAGAUUCUAGGCACGACCCGACUCUCCACCCCUACACUCCACAACACGACCCAACACCGUAUCCCAGUACAGUCUUCUACUAGGCUCCCUGUGGAAUCAUGACUCACUCGACUUUCUCAAUGAUCCUUUUGUAGAAGAAAAACCUCGAGGUUGCUUAUUUUCUAAUUUUAAGAUUUUUAUCUGAAUUUACCUUCAGUAACGUACUCCUUUUGGCACGCGGUUCCAUGAGUUUGAACAGAUGCUUAGAGUCCUGGAAUUACCAUCAUGAUCAAGACACAGCAGAGUUCCAUCAUCCUGCAAAAAUGCCUGGGUGCUCCCCACCCCACUUCCGGAACACAUACCUACCCCUGGUGACCACAGAUCAGGUCCCAUCCCUGGAGCUUGGUCUCUCCCAGAAUGUCACAGAAAUGGAAUCGUACACUCGACAGCCUUUGGAGUCAGGCCUCUUUCACCUGACAUGAAGUGAGUGGAAGGUAACCGUAUUUCACUCCUUUUGCUGCUGAGUAAUCUUCCCUGUAUGAACAUAUCGCAGUUCUUAUCCGUUCCCCAACUGAAGGACAUUCGGGUUGUUUCUGAGUUUUGAUGAUAAACCCAAUGAUCUUCAUUAACAGAUGUUUUUUACAUGGGAGAAGAAAAAUCUGAUUUAGUGCCAGUGUGAGGGGGAGGUGGUGAGUUGAAGACAGUGGCUCACCCACAGGUCCAGCCAAAAGGCCACCUUUUUAGCAGGCUGGGGUCAGCCAGGGAGGACUUAAAGUUUGUCUUUAUAAUAAACCUCUGGUCCUCCAAAGCCCUCAAAAUAGCAAGGUCUGACAGAGUGCCUCAGAAUCUGUUUCUCACAAGUGAAAUGAAAGAUCCUUGGCACAUCAGACCCCCAAACUCACUCUGAAACCAUUGCAGCCAGCGUCUCUUCUCUUAGAAUGUGUUGUGUUCCUCGAGGUGGGGCCGGGGUGGGGGAGGGUCUCUCCGAGUGCCAUCAUCUUUCUUCCCUACAGUUUACGAUGCUUCUGCCCAACUGGAUCUAUUUGAUCUUCCAACAAGCCCAAGAGGGAAGAAAGGCAGAUAUUUGUACUUGUAUUAUUUUGAAGAUAAGGUUGUGGGAGCUCAAGGAGCCUGGCACCUGUCCAAAGUCAACAAGGGCCCUACUGGUUGGGGAGAAAACCUGGCUCCUCCAAUCCUCAAGCCAGUGUUUUCUGGUUUUGUCUUGUUGGGUAUUUUUUGUUUUUUGUUUUUGUCUUUUUAGGGCUGUAGGUGCCGCACAUGGAGGUUCCCAGGCUAGGGGUUGAAUCAGAGCGGCAGCUGCCAGCCUACACCACAGCCACAGCAACCUGACAUUGAGCCAUGUCUGUGACUUACACCAUAGCUCACAGCAAUGCAGGAUCCUUAACCCACUGAGCGAGACCAGGGAUAGAACCUGCACCCUUUUGGAUACUAGUCGGGUUUGUUACCACUGAGCCAUGAUAGGAACUCCUGUUUUUUUGUUUUAAAAUUUUAAAACCUCUGCAGUUGGACAAUGUAAGAGCAGUGAUUAUCUCUUUAACCAGCACAGUGGAGAAUCGACUCUUGCUCAAAGUAAGUGAUAGGGUGGGCAGAGUGAGUUUAAGUCACGUUUCCUUGGUGGCCUCCAUGACCUCAUCCAUGAAAUGGGUAAAACAAUUUCCCAUCUCCCAUUUCCUACCUCCUCCUGUGGUUGCAAAGAUGACAGGUCUCAGAAGGGGUAAUAAGUGGGAAGAUGUACACCCCACAAUGGCAGCAAUUAAUAUUAAUUUGAUUUAUUAGGAGAAACCAUAGAACGUGCCGACCAUUAACCCUGUGCAGUGGGUGCCCUCUGCUCUCAGCCUUGCACGGGAUUUCUGAAUCCUAAUUAUCUUCUGGCAGUGAUGGAGGAAACCAAGGGGUUAAGGAGGAGGCCUAGAGGCUGGCACAGCUGGGGACCAUUAGCUCCUAAGCGGGGGGUGGAGGCCAGGAAGGACCUCUGGGCAGCCGUGAGGAGGGGCGCUGAGAGUGUCUCCGAGGAAACUUAGGCUGAAAUUUUUGUUUUUCUUAAUUCUGAACUCAGUUUUAUACUCCAGAGGGGAGUUGUUCGUGUCUGAACUUGGUUUUUGAGCCCUGGCGCUGGUGGUUUUCGCAGUAAAUGGCUUGCCGCUCCUUGUGGGGCAAUAUUGCUAUUGAUGUUGGGCCAACGUGGUUAGGAAACGGGAUCUUCCAAAUGAGGACUCUGUGGUUUGACGACACUGAGCUGCAGUCUCCCCGGAGCAUGGUUGGGGGUUGAGACAGUUACCCGCAGGGUGGGGCUUGAGGGUAAAGUGGCAUUUCUCCUCUGCCAUUCCCCCCCACACACACCUUGGCAUUAUUAUUAUUAUUAUUAUUGCCCGGUGAGGCCUGUGCUCUGGCCUCAACUCCACCAAGAGAAGGGGCUGUAUUUGGAACAAUUGUGCCCAGAGGAGGCUCCUGAGAAGCAGGAGACCAGGGUGCCAGCGGGUCUCCGGAAAAUGAAAUGUGUCCUCUGACUGCCUGACUGUCUUCGCUGGCACAGGGCCCCGUUAUAAGGUCGUUAGUGCUGCCUGGGUUGGAGGAGCAGAGAGACAAGGCCCAGGCACCCACCAUCUGCUUCAGGAAGCUUUCCAUGACUGCCAGGCAGUCACAGGUGCCCCUGCCCUGUCCUCCCUCAGCCCCUGUCCUCCCCUCCCCGCAGCACUGGUCACACGGUAGUGGAAUUGUCACACCAUAUCAUAAUGAUUCAUGUGGCUGGCUGUGCCCCCACUGCCUUGGUCACGAGCAGCUGCUCCAAUCCCUCUGGAGUGACGGAUGGCAUUUGAAGAGAAGGAGGAAACUUGAAGAUACCACCAAGAAUGAGCUGAAGAGGUUUUCGCCCAGGGAAUCGCCCGCUCAGCAUCUUUGUCCUGAUGGAAAAGCUCUCACAAAAGAGUGGCAGCCCUGUCAGAAAGACGAAGUCCAGAGUCAUUCUCAAGAGAAAGGAGCGACAGGAAUGGGCUGGUGGCUGGAAGCCAGGUGCCUAAUGCUUUAGCGCACAGAAGGAGGGACAGCUGGGACUAGCAUGAAAAACGGUCUGCGCGCCACCAAAGCACUGUUCACACUGGCCAAGAGGGCAGAAGCCCCCGACGUGUCCAUCACAGAUGAAAGAAUAGACAAAAGGUGGCGUAUACAGACAAUACAAAUUUAACCUUAAAAAGGAAGGAAAUCUCAUCACAUACACAACAGGAAUGAGCCUGGAGGACCUUAUGCUAAGUGAAAUCAGCCCAUCACAAAAAGACAAAACACGGUAUGAUUCAACUUAUAUGAGUUAUCUUAAAUAGUCAAACUCAUAGUUACAGAAAGAAGCAUGGUAGUUUCUAGGGGCUGGGGGGAAGCGGAGGGAAAAGGAGGGUUACUAUGGAAUGGCGAUAGUUUCAGGUUUGCAAAUCAGAAAUGUUUUGGAGAGCUGGUUUUGCAAUAACGUGACUAUAUUAACACUGCUCAACUAUCCACUGAAAAGUGGUCAAGAUGGUAAAUUUUGUUAUAUAUAUAUAUGUUAGAACCCACAAUUGUAAGAAAAGGAGAGUUAAUGCUCCAGUGGCCAGAGGCUGUGGCUGCUGCCUGGACCCAAGGGGAGGAGUGAGAAGGGGUGUGUGUGUGUGUAGGGGGCAGUGAGAGCCAGGGAGAGUGUGGGUUCUGCUCUGCCUGCAUCCUUCCCCAGAGGUCUGGAAGUCCAACUUAACCUGGUCACUGGACAGUCAGGUUAUUUUUGCUUGGACGACGUCUCUGGAGGAAGUGGAUUGGGGCCCACGGACGGGCAGUGGUCCUUACCAGGUCUCCAAGUCCCCAACUUUCUAUC